CCUACGGGCGGCUGCAGUGGGGAAUAUUGGACAAUGGGCGCAAGCCUGAUCCAGCCAUGCCGCGUGAGUGAUGAAGGUCUUCGGAUUGUAAAACUCUUUCGCCGGGGAAGAUAAUGACGGUACCCGGAGAAGAAGCUCCGGCUAACUUCGUGCCAGCAGCCGCGGUAAUACGAAGGGAGCUAGCGUUGUUCGGAAUUACUGGGCGUAAAGCGCCCGUAGGCGGAUUUUUAAGUCAGGGGUGAAAUCCCAAGGCUCAACCUUGGAACUGCCUUUGAUACUGGAAGUCUCGGGAUCGGGAGAGGUGAGUGGAAUUCCUAGUGUAGAGGUGAAAUUCGUAGAUAUUAGGAAGAACACCAGUGGCGAAGGCGGCUCACUGGCCCGAUACUGACGCUGAGGUGCGAAAGCGUGGGGAGCAAACAGGAUUAGAUACCCGAGUAGUCG
rnacentral:rRNA from 1 species